rnacentral:RNase_P_RNA from 3 species
GGAGGUGACCAGGGGAUCGCUCGAGGCGGGAGACCGCCUCGGGAGGAAAGUCCGAGCUCCACAGGGCAUGAUGCUGGAUAACGUCCAGGGGGAGCGAUCCUACGGAAAGUGCCACAGAGAGUAGACCGCCAGCCACAGGAUCAUCUCCUGCGAGCUGGUAAGGGUGAAACGGUGCGGUAAGAGCGCACCAGUUCCGGCGGUGACGUCGGAAGCUAGGCAAACCCCAUCCGGAGCAAGACCAAAUAGGAGAGAAGUUCCAGAGACUGGAGGCGGAGUUGCCCGCUCCGUUGGAGAAGUAUCUCCUCGACUCUCGGGUAGGUCGCUGGACCUUGCCGGUAACGGCAAGGCAAGAUAGAUGAUCCCACCUGUGCCUGGUUCGGCUUCGCCGUUCCUGGCGAGCGGAUCGACGCCGAGUCAGGAUACAGGAACAGAACUCGGCUUAUGGUCACCUCUGUCC